rnacentral:lncRNA from 10 species
ACUUGAAGUCACUGUAUUUAGUCACUACUGGAUACAUAGUGUGCAAAGAUCAACACUAAACUUAUGAAAUAUAUUUUGAGAAAUCAUUUCUAACAAGUGGUAAUUAAAGCCAAAGGAAAGGAUAAAAUCUCCCAAGGAUAUAUAAUAAAAAGAAAACCAAAGGCAAGAUGUAGGUAAAUGUCCAUAUUAAAGAGUUCAGAAGAUUUCCAAAUGAAGAAAUAAAGAAAGAAUGAUUCACAUUCAAUGUAUUCAGUGACCUUGUUUGGAUGACUCUGUUCACUCAGGUGACCUUGAAGCAAAAAUUAUAGAAGCAUCAAUUGGCAAGUUCACCAGCAUCCAGCAAAGUAUGAAAAGGGCAGAACUGUGUGCUGUGUGUUCCCGAAACAAGCUGAGACUUAUUUUGUUUCUGCAGUUGCUCUUCAUUUCUGCUUUCCCCAUUGUGUUUUAUGCAUAUGCCUCCCAUUUAUGUUCCUGCCUUUCCAUGCCGAAGUCCAAGGAACACCGUCCCUGCUGACGUGCACACCCGGGCCGAUUUACGGAAUGGAACUGGCAUCACUCCUCCAUGUUUUCACUCACUGCAGGGGUGAGGCACACUGCCAAUUCUGCUACUUCCAGUGUUAGAAGAAUGACAGGAAAGCAAGAUGAAAAAACAGAAAAAAAAUUAGAAGAGGUUCUGAUUACAAGUGUGGCUUUCAGCACAGUGAGAGGAGAAACACAAAUAAAUGACCUGAGUGAUUUCACUGUUAACAUGCACAUCUCACUCACAUAUUCCCAGAUUUUUACAUCUACUAAUAUCUUGCCUGGUGUAUUCAGAUGAUGCC